GCUAUGGUGCCAGGGGAGGAGCCAGCGCGCGAGCUUAUGGCGGUUCUUUUGACUCCGAGGUUCCGUAGACUUGUCAGUCAGAACGAGCUUCCGGGCCCAGGGCUGAACGGGCCAAGUUCCAGGAACCGUAGAGAUGGCUUCUGCCGGAAAAGGAGGACAGACCAGGAUAUGAAAUGAUUUCAAAUCCUCUAGCACAGGAGAUUGGUGAGGAAAGAAUUGAGGAACUUAUUCAUACAAUAAAUGGGAAUCCAGCUUUAUGUCCAAAUAUCACAGUUCAGAAACCUUUUCUCCGGCUUUCAAAAGAAGAUGUUUGGAAAGAACAAACAUUAUUAUGUCUUCUUCAAUUGAUUCACCUUCCAUUCUUGGACAAUAUUUUGGAGCCUCCAGUUAAAACACAAAAUCUUCAACUAAACAAAGAGGAAGAUCUUGUUAUCACUAACACUUGCCUAGACAGAGAACUUAUUCCAAGCUUAUGUCUACCUGAAAAAUGAGAAAAGAGCAGAAGCACUUGAAGCAACACAACUAUAUCUAAGAUUGCUGU
rnacentral:lncRNA from 1 species